AUUGAACGCUGGCGGCAGGCCUAACACAUGCAAGUCGAGCGGAUGAAGGGAGCUUGCUCCUGGAUUCAGCGGCGGACGGGUGAGUAAUGCCUAGGAAUCUGCCUGGUAGUGGGGGAUAACGUCCGGAAACGGGCGCUAAUACCGCAUACGUCCUGAGGGAGAAAGGGGGGGAUCUUAGGACCUCACGCUAUCAGAUGAGCCUAGGGCGGAUUAGCUAGUUGGUGGGGUAAAGGCCUACCAAGGCGACGAUCCGUAACUGGUCUGAGAGGAUGAUCAGUCACACUGGAACUGAGACACGGUCCAGACUCCUACGGGAGGCAGCAGUGGGGAAUAUUGGACAAUGGGCGAAAGCCUGAUCCAGCCAUGCCGCGUGGUUGAAGAAGGUCUUCGGAUUGUAAAGCACUUUAAGUUGGGAGGAAGGGCAGUAAGUUAAUACCUUGCUGUUUUGACGUUACCAACAGAAUAAGCACCGGCUAACUUCGUG
rnacentral:rRNA from 1 species